GGAACAGAAAGCAUUUCAGCAGCCAGCCCUGCCACAAAGCACUAGGGGUUCUUGAGUAAGGGCUGCAGAAUUCUUUCUGAGAGGGACAAAAGAGAGACUUCCUGUCAUUCCCAUUACUUUCUGCAUGUGGGACCAAUAUGGGCAAUGCAAAGUUUAAACAGUUGCAAAUGGAGAAGGGGAGGGGGCAGUAUCAUGCCUUUCUCUAUUUCUCUAUUUCUAGGUUGAAUUGAAAGGGAAGUCUUAGCAUUCUCCUUUCAGAAAGCUAGUAGACCCCAGUGAAGUGCUUGUUUACUGGAUGCUUCAUUUCACCAUUAUUUGCUUAUGGAAAAUAAAGGGGAGUGACAGGAAAAGAGAGGGGGGGGCUGCUGGAGGGGGCUGGGGGAAGAGGGAGGCACUGACCACAGUGCAGCACCAGUAACCUUGUCUUAUGUGAUCAUUAACCUUGCUGGAAGGCGCAGCUGGCAGCUCACUCUGAGGUUUGUCAUUAGAAUUGUGAGCUGAGCCACACAGAUACUGCAGGAGUAUUUAAAGGAUUGUUUGGUUUUCUGGGAGCGCUCUGGCUAUCUUUCUGUGUGGAAGCAAAAUGAGAUUUCAGCUGCUCUUUUUUCUAUUCCUUUUUUUCACGAUGGGUAUACUCCUUAUCAAUGGACAAAGGCCAGGUAAUCUGGCUUUGAGGAGAAAACUGCAUAGACACAGCUGUCUACAGAGGAGAUGCAUACCCCUCCAUUCCCGGGUGCCCUUCCCCUGAGAAGCCAUUUCUAGUAUACCUGAACUACCAGGAAAUGAGGAAGAGGGAAUGAAGCAAAGAGACCUACUCAAGAAAACCUCAUUCUUACAACAUUGGGAUCUGUGUAGAGUCCUCCUACAGAAAGGAAUCAUCUGAAAUCAUCCAAGGACGAUUAUUUGUGAGCAUCAUGGGGGUCUGCAGUAUCUGGUUUUACUUCCAGGGAAAAAACAAGGAUUCAAAAGACUGUCUCUUAAUGAACUGCCAAUAUAUCAAGCCAGUCAAUUUAUGUUUCUGCAAAUUAGGAUGUUUAUAAGUUUAAAAGAGGAAAAAAAAAACUUUUCAUAAAUUGUAGUGGUGUUAUUAGAGUGGAAAAUCCUAGAUUUCUGUGUGAAUUUAUGCAUCCAAACCAAACAAGCUAUAAGAAUUUUAAACUAUUGUUUCUAACUCCAGGAAUACUAACUAUAGUUUUGAAAUUUAAAAAUUACUUAAGCUAUAUUUGUUUGAUCACAGGGGGAAAAAAACAAAACUCCAGUAUAGAUCUUUCAGCUGUUUUUUUACAAUCAAAUUUUACCAACCUGACUGUAGAAAUAAAAUAGAAAACACUGAAUCCAAUGGCAGUGUCCAGACAACUCUUAAAAGCAGGAAAUUAUUUCAUAGUUGACAUUUUAAACAAAUGAGUCUUGAUGUUUUAGUCAAUAUUGGUCACUUAAAAAUUUCAAAAGCAUAUUAUAAUAUAUAAAUUGAAAAAUAUAAAAUCCUUCUAAUGAAGAUUAUUUUAAAGGAAAAAGUUGUUCAUUUCUGAAAUGUUUUAGCAUCAAGAAAUUCUGAGAAAUAAAGAUCUAAAUUUCUGAAGCAUGAUUCCUAGUAGAUUUCUGCUUGACAGAUAUAAAUUAUAAAGAGUAAUUCUUAAGACAAUAGUUAUCUUGAAAGUGCCAUCCAGCUCUGUUUGUUUCCCAGGUUGCCCAUUUAAGAAAACUUAUUUAAAAUACAAUUACACUAGUCUGUUCUUAAAUAGACUAAUUUAUGUAUCAUUUAAAAAAAAACAAAAAACUUUUUCUCUUUGUACUUUAAUUUCCUGGUGAUGCAUCAAUCGUUUCAGAAGCACAUUCCCCUCAAAAGAAAGGAUGGUGAUAUAAAAUGAAUAAUCAAAAUUCCUAUUUUUCAGGGAAUUUAAAAUCCCAUAGGGGAAGGUCAAAAACAAAUAUCCAGUUACAAUGAAAGCACAAUGAAAUAAAUGCUGUACAAUAGAAUAAAUAUGAAAAAUUACUGGUGAAGUAAGAUGGUUCAGUUCUGGGAGGGGAAGAAAAAGAGGAGAAUAGAAGAAAAGAAAAUAUAUCAUCUUUGGAAAUUUUGAGUUCAUUAUAUAUUUGUAUUGGGAUUAAAUGAUUUUCAUUAUCUGACUAGAAAUUAGCUUCAAGAAUUCAUAAACAAUUUCCAUAUUGAAAAUAGAGGGCUUGAACUCCUGGUUUUACACUGUAAUCCUUGGUAGAAUAAGGAAGACACUAGGAAUCUCCAAAUGUUUUUAAUAAAAAAAGAAAAACAUUUAAGACUCACACAUAGGAGGAUUUUACAUUGGAAACUUUAUGGAACCACUUUGGAAUACUGUUCAAAUUGUCUUAUUAGGUACAAAGAUUUUAAAUAAGGCAGAGUAAAAUAAAAAACAUAAGCCAAAGGAUUUUAAGAAAUAAUGUUCCUUUGAAAAUUAGGCUAUCGAAAUAAAAAUUCUAGAUUUUUCAAUGAAUUUUAGGUCCUUACUAAAAAUGCAUCUAAAUAACUACAUGUUUCUAUCUUAUAUUUAUGAUUAUAUAAUAUGUAUUUGUCUGUAUAUUUUGUAAAAAGAAAAAACCUUAUGCACUUCAAAUAUAUCUCAUUUAAUAACAUUUUUAAAUGUUCUAUUUUAUUUUUUCAUUAGACUCUAUUAAUAGAAAAAAUCAAAAUCUGUUUCUAAGUUACCUGAUAUAUGGAAAAUUAAAAAAAAAAACAUGCUUCUUUUGUUUUUCAUGUUUUUGUGAAGCUUAAAUAAAAUAAAACCCAUUUGCUACAA
rnacentral:lncRNA from 1 species